GCUCAGGAGGCAGACUCUUCGGGCAUCGCCACCAUGGCCUGGGCUCUGCUUGUCCUUACCCUCCUCACUCAGGGCACAGGUUCCUGGUCCCAGUCUGCUCUGCCUCAACCUCUAUCAGCCUCUGGAUCUCUAGGACAGUCAGUCACCAUCUCCUGCACUAGAACCAGCAAUGACAUUGAGAUUUAUAAUAAUGUCUCCUGGUAUCGAGAUCUCCCAGGAGCAUCUCCCAAAAUCCUGAUUUAUGGAGCCACUAAUCGUCCCUCCAGUGUACCCAAUCGCUUCUCUGGCUCCCAGUCUAGCAAUUCAGCCUCUCUGACUAUUUCUAGCCUUCAGGCUGAGGAUGAGGCUGAUUAUUAUUGCUGCUCAUAUACAAGCAGCAGCAAUUUACACAGUGCUCCAAGUUUAUGGGGAAGUGGGUGCAAAAUGUGUCUUGAGUCACAUGUUUCUAUUCACUCAGAAGUUUCUUCUUCAGCCCUGCACAGAGACAGCUUCAGGCCACAGGGCCAUGAGAAUCCAGUUCUCUCUCAGUUCCUCUUUUGUUCAACCAUGAAAUGUCUGCUUGGAAUUACUCAGUCAACAUACCUGGUUUUGCUCUUCAUGAGCACAUCUGUUGGUGAAGUAACAACCACUGAGAAAUUCUGA